GUGAUAUUGUGUUUAAGACCUUUCGAGUGCCAUGAUACUCUUUUGAGACUAUGGAGGACAUCAAACCUAAGUAUAAAGUCUAUUUCAAGGAGACCAUUGGCACUGCUUAAACGGUACUAGGCAUGAAUUCUAAUUGGAAGAUGGAAAGAUAUCUGACUUGAGGAUGAAGGAAGAAGCACCAGUCUCAAAAUAGGGUAUGGGCUUGUCGUACUUGGUCGGGAAGAUGUAUAUCUUUGCAUUUAGAGACGGUUGAGACACAUAUUCCAGUCUAUCUUCUUCUUGUAAUU
rnacentral:lncRNA from 1 species